AGCCGAUCAAGUGUUUGAGGGAAUUGAAGCCUAAAAGCUUCAGUCAUUCCUUCGUUGAUCUCCUUUUCCGAAGAUUUUCAAGCAAAAUUGCCUAUACCAAUUGAAUCCUAGAGUCACAACAAGCUCAAAGGUAGUGUUCACUCACCCUAUGAUUGCCAAUAACUUGAGCUCAAAACUUGGAAGCUUUUUUUUAUGUAACGUCUCCAUUGUUACAAUUCCUCAUUAUGGAUUCUCUUCUUCUUCUGGUUAUUGAAUCUUGAACAAGCUUGUCUUUAUUGAAUGUUUUGUCUAGGGCCCACCAAUUUUGUUUUGCUUCAUGUUUGUUCUAAUUGAAUGGUUUAAUUCAAUUUUCAUUCUGCUUUGAAUGUUCUUGAUUGAAUGUUUUACUUCAGUUUUUGUUCUAUUUGAAAUUUUGAAUAAGCCAAUUGAAUUUUUUUUU
rnacentral:misc_RNA from 1 species